CAGAUGGGGAAGCUGAGGCCCAGAGAAGUUAAGUAAGUUGUCUAAGUUCACAAAGUUACCAGAAGAUUGUGGAGUGGUCUUCCAGGGAGAGUUAUCUUGUAUCAGGAAGGAGAGAUGAUUACUUAGGAAAGCCCAAGAAACAACAGGUAUUUGAAAGCUAUAGCAGUUCAUCUGGGGUUGAUCUGGGAGCAUACAGCAAAAAAAGAGCUAAAAUGCAAGGCACCAACGUAGAAAAGCCCACCUGGUCUCUCUUCUUAGGGUGGCUCCUCUCUGUCUCUCUGCCUCUGCCUCUUGUCCUAGCCCAGCAUGGCCGCAGGUCCCAGGUUCUGUGACAUCACAGUGCAGUGCCCACAGCUCACUGUUGGUUCCUGCCAUUGAGAUUAUCUGAUUGGCCACUGGCCAGCCAAUGGUGGAUCAGACUUUGGAGCAGGUGAUCCUUGGACGCCCACAGUACAUCACCUUCAUGAGCGCAUCAGUGAACACCAGUCUAAGGAAGACAUCUCUGAACGUAAUUUUGGAGAUUUUGAUGAGUUCCAUUGAAACAAGGAGGAAUGUGAUGUCCAGUAUCAGUUCUGCAGACCCAAGGACAAAGAAAAUUCUGUGAUAAACUCAUCCAGUGUGACUGUAAUACCAGGCAGUGAUAGAAGAACUGGGGGAAGAGAUAAUUGUAUUUAUCUUGGUGAGGGUGACAAAUCAUGGCAAAUGAGCAAAAUGAAAAAGGAUACAAGACACCGGACUUUCAAAUCAACAAUUGUUUCAAAAGACUCCUACUGGAUUCCUGCUAGUGAUGGGAGAAAAUUAUCAUUCUGCCCUGCUGGAAAUUUUCCAUGCUCUUCAUUCGUUCUCCUGUAUUUCCUAACGCCAAUAAAAGAGGAGAUCCCUG
rnacentral:lncRNA from 1 species